rnacentral:rRNA from 1 species
GAUGAACGCUGGCGGCGUGCCUAAUACAUGCAAGUCGAGCGAACAGAUGAUGAGCUUGCUCCUCUGACGUUAGCGGCGGACGGGUGGGUAACACGUGGAUCACCUACCUAUAAGACUGGGAUAACUUCGGGAAACCGGAGCUAAUACCGGCUCAUAUAUUGAACCGCAUGGUUCAAUAGUGAAAGACGGUUUUGCUGUCACUUAUAGAUGGUUCCGCGCCGCAUUAGCUAGUUGGUAAGGUAACGGCUUACCAAGGCAACGAUGCGUAGCCGACCUGAGAGGAUGAUCGGCCACACUGGAACUGAGACACGGUCCAGACUCCUACGGGAGGCAGCAGUAGGGAAUAUUCCGCAAUGGGCGCAAGCCUGACGGAGCCAUGCCGCGUGAGUGAAGAAGGUCUUCGGAUCGUAAAACUCUGUUAUUAGGGAAGAAAAAAUGCGGAAUUAUCCAUGGAUGCUCUGACGGUACCCAAUGAGAAAGCCCCGGCUAACUUCGUG